rnacentral:rRNA from 1 species
UACGUAGGGAGCAAGCGUUGUCCGGAAUCAUUGGGCGUAAAGAGCGUGUAGGCGGCCCGGUAAGUCGGUUGUGAAAGUCAAGGGCUCAACCCUUGAAUGCCGACCGAUACUGUCGGGCUAGAGUCCGGAAGAGGCGAGUGGAAUUCCUGGUGUAGCGGUGAAAUGCGCAGAUAUCAGGAGGAACACCGAUGGCGAAGGCAGCUCGCUGGGACGGUACUGACGUUGAGACGCGAAAGCGUGGGGAGCAAACAGG